rnacentral:rRNA from 1 species
UACGUAAGGAAUUUAUAAAUAUUAUCGGUAUAAUAGUUAAAUUUUAUUUUCUUUAAUUUUAAAAUUUUUAGGUGAAAUUUUAAUUUUUUAAUAAAAGAUAUUUUUGAAGCUAUGAAAUUUAAUUUAUAAACAA